AACGAACGCUGCCGCCUUCCUAAAACAUGCAAGGCCAACCGAACCUUCCGGGCUAGGGGCGCACGGGGUCGUUACGCGGGGGGAACUUCCCCUAGGGUCGGGAUAACCCCCCGGAAGGGGGGCCAAUAACGGGUAAUGGCUUCGGGCCAAAGAUUUAUCGCCUUUGGAUGGGCCCGCGUUGGAUUAGCUAGUUGGUAGGGUAAAAGCCUACCAAGGCGACGAUCCAUAGCUGGUCUGAGAGGAUGAUCAGCCACACUGGGACUGAGACACGGCCCAGACUCCUACGGGAGGCAGCAGUGGGGAAUAUUGGACAAUGGGCGAAAGCCUGAUCCAGCAAUGCCGCGUGAGUGAUGAAGGCCUUAGGGUUGUAAAGCUCUUUUACCCGGGAUGAUAAUGACAGUACCGGGAGAAUAAGCUCCGGCUAACUCCGUG
rnacentral:rRNA from 1 species